GCGGGCGUGGCGGAACGGCAGACGCGCCAGACUUAGGAUCUGGUGGGAUUCUCCCGUGAGAGUUCGAAUCUCUCCGCCCGCACCA
rnacentral:tRNA from 1 species